UCAUGGACGAAAGUCUGAACCAGCCAUGCCGCGUGCAGGAUGACUGCCCUAUGGGUUGUAAACUGCUUUUAUAUAGGAAGAAAAACUUUCUCGUGAGAAAGCUUGACGGUACUAUAAGAAUAAGGAUCGGCUAACUCCGUGCCAGCAGCCGCGGUAAUACGGAGGAUCCAAGCGUUAUCCGGAAUCAUUGGGUUUAAAGGGUCCGUAGGUGGACAAAUAAGUCAGAGGUGAAAUCCUGCAGCUCAACUGUAGAACUGCCUUUGAUACUGUUUGUCUUGAGUUAUUAUGAAGUGGUUAGAAUGUGUAGUGUAGCGGUGAAAUGCAUAGAUAUUACACAGAAUACCGAUUGCGAAGGCAGAUCACUAAUAAUCAACUGACACUGAUGGACGAAAGCGUGGGUAGCGAACAGGAUUAGAUACCCUGGUAGUCCACGCCGUAAACGAUGGUCACUAGCUGUUUGGACUUCGGUCUGAGUGGCUAAGCGAAAGUGAUAAGUGACCCACCUGGGGAGUACGUUCGCAAGAAUGAAACUCAAAGGAAUUGACGGGGGCCCGCACAAGCGGUGGAGCAUGUGGUUCAAUUCGAUGAUACGCGAGGAACCUUACCAGGGCUUAAAUGUUAGGUGACAGAUCUAGAAAUAGAUUUUUCUUCGGACACUUAACAAGGUGCUGCAUGGUUGUCGUCAGCUCGUGCCGUGAGGUGUCAGGUUAAGUCCUAUAACGAGCGCAACCCCUGUUGUUAGUUGCCAGCGAGUAAUGUCGGGAACUCUAGCAAGACUGCCAGUGCAAACUGUGAGGAAGGUGGGGAUGACGUCAAAUCAUCACGGCCCUUACGUCCUGGGCUACACACGUGCUACAAUGGUAGGUACAGAGAGCAGCCAAUGCGCGAGCAUGAGCAAAUCUAUAAAACCUAUCUCAGUUCGGAUCGGAGUCUGCAACUCGACUCCGUGAAGCUGGAAUCGCUAGUAAUCGGAUAUCAGCCAUGAUCCGGUGAAUACGUUCCCGGGCCUUGUACACACCGCCCGUCAAGCCAUGGAAGUUGGGAGUGCCUGAAGUCCGUUUCCGCAAGGAUCGGCCUAGGGUAAAAUCGAUAACUAGGGCUAAGUCGUAACAAGGUAGCCGUACCGGAAGGUGCGGCUGGAACACCUCCUCUCU
rnacentral:rRNA from 1 species